GCAAGUCGAGCGGUAACACUUCGGGUGACGAGCGGCGAACGGCUGAGUAACGCGUUGGUACCUGCCCCGAACUCAGGGAUAAGCACUGGAAACGGUGUCUAAUACCGGAUAUCUCAGUAAUGAGAAAGAUUUUAUCGGUUCGGGAGGGACCUGCGUCGUAUCAGGUAGUUGGUGAGGUAAUGGCUCACCAAGCCUAUGACGCGUAUCUGGUGUGAGAGCAUGACC
rnacentral:rRNA from 1 species